GAUGAACGCUGGCGGCGCGCCUAACGCAUGCAAGUCGAACGGCACCCCUCCUCGGAGGGAAGCGAGUGGCGAACGGCCGAGUAACACGUGGAGAACCUGCCCCCUCCCCCGGGAUAGCCGCCCGAAAGGACGGGUAAUACCGGAUACCCCGGGGUGCCGCAUGGCACCCCGGCUAAAGCCCCGACGGGAGGGGAUGGCUCCGCGGCCCAUCAGGUAGACGGCGGGGUGACGGCCCACCGUGCCGACAACGGGUAGCCGGGUUGAGAGACCGACCGGCCAGAUUGGGACUGAGACACGGCCCAGACUCCUACGGGAGGCAGCAGUGGGGAAUCUUGAGCAAUGGGGGGAACCCUGACGCAGCGACGCCGCGUGCGGGACGGAGGCCUUCGGGUCGUAAACCGCUUUCAGCAGGGAAGAGUCAAGACUGUACCUGCAGAAGAAGCCCCGGCUAACUACGUG
rnacentral:rRNA from 1 species